rnacentral:rRNA from 1 species
CAAUAGUGUAUAUUAAAGUUGUUGCGGUUAAAAAGCUCGUAGUUGGAUUUCUGCCAAGGCCGACCGGUCCGUCCUUUGGGUGAGUAUCUGGCUUGACUGGAGCAUCUUCUUGGAGAGCGUGGCUGCACUUGACUGUGUGGUGCGAAACCCAAGACUUUUACUUUGAGGAAAUUAGAGUGUUUCAAGCAGGCUCACGCCUUGAAUACAUUAGCAUGGAAUAAUAAGAUAAGGCCUUGGUUGUAUUUUGUUGGUUUCUAGAAUUGAGGUAAUGAUGAACAGGGAUACUUGGGGGCAUACGAAUUUAAUUGUCAGAGGUGAAAUUCUUGGAUUUGUUAAAGACGGACUACUGUGAAAGCAUUUGCCAAGAAUGUUUUCAUUGAUCAAGAAUGAAAGUUAGGGGGUCGAAGACGAUUAGAUACCAU